ensembl:lncRNA
GUUUGAGUGGGGACAUCCAAUAUAUGCUGUUUGGCAUCUACUUCAUUUCUAUCCCGUGGAUACUGACGUCAGCUCUGCUUUCUGGUGUGGCAAACGGCUGCGUUAUUUGGAGCUGUGUGUCCGACGGCAGUGAGGCUUUCCUUCACCGUGUGCUGUGUUAUGCUGUGUGAGCACCACUGAUAAAAUCACGGGAACAAGACAGCAGCGUAGACUCUUUGAAGGGUCUCUUUGGCUACCUCCCCUGAUUGUGUUUCAGGUCCAAAUUUUCUUUCUGCCCCGCCUUGCUUGGUGAGGGAGAAGCUCGGGAUGAGAUCAGGUAUCGGUCUGAGACAGAGAGGGGGGAUCCAGAUAAGAUAAUUCGGGCCUUAAAGGAAUUGUAUGGGUGUUCUUUGUCAUAUGUAGCAUUGCAACAGGCAUUUUUUUCCAGGAGGCAGCAGGAAGGAGAAACACUUUUAGAGUUCUCUAUUGCAUUGAUGGGCCUCUUGGAGGGGGUAAAACAGCAGUCGCCGCAUGCCAUACCAAAUGCAGAAGCUUUAUUGCGUGACCAGUUUGUCGAGCACGUGCUCGAUAUUGGUCUUCGUCGGGAACUAAAACAAUUAGUCCGCCGUGACCCUACCUCUUCCCUCUUAGAUGUUCGUAGCGAGGCAAUGCGCUGGGAGCGGGAGGGAAUGCCUGGGGGUGCGAGAGGGCGAAGUCAGUCUGUACCAGUGGCCUAUGGGGCCCAGUAUGCCAUACAGGGGGAGUCGCAGGUAGUUCGGUUGAGCUCCCCUCCCAAGUCGGAGCUAGCAGAGUUACGGGAAAUGUUGAAGUCACAACAAGAACAGUUAAACCAACUUACCCAAGGGUUGGCUCGCUUGCAGGUCCCUAAUUCAUAUAGCCGGUCCCCACGUCACAGUAAUAUAGUAUGUCGGAGGUGCCAACGGUCUGGCCAUUUUGCCCGAGAGUGUGAUGGAGAACGUGUUCUCCCUCACGCUCCAGCAGUGGGUACAUCUUCGACUGGGUCUAGGCAGUUUCGAUCUUCACAGCCGUCGGAAAACUAAUCCCCACCGGGCUGCGGAGUCACAGCGCGGAUGGGGAGUCAUUUGACUCAAAUGUUGUAAACCGUCUAAAUUCUGUCUCUCGUUUGGUGUCCUCCUGUCCUCAUCUUAAUGUGCUCAUCGGUGGUGUUCAAGUGCCAUGUUUAGUG